AAGAUCAUACUUCAAGGGAUCUAUUGAAGUUUGUUUCUUUAGCUUCAUGAACAACAUGAAGUUGACUGGAUCCACGAUGACGAGGUAUUGGGCGUCUUCCUGAGCGCGAAGCCGAAGCUUGGUGAUUUUUUUUACCGAUUUCGAUCGGUAAAGAUGUUGCCUAAUGCUUCAUUGAUGAACGUUUUUAUGGUUCGUUAUUUGAACCAUAAAAGGGAAGAUGCUCGUUCCGAGUGGU
rnacentral:snoRNA from 1 species